GAUGAACGCUAGCUACAGGCUUAACACAUGCAAGUCGAGGGGAAACGAUAUUGGAAGCUUGCUUCCGAUAGGCGUCGACCGGCGCACGGGUGAGUAACGCGUAUCCAACCUGCCCAUCACUUGGGGAUAACCUUGCGAAAGUAAGACUAAUACCCAAUGACGUCUCUAGAAGACAUCUGAAAGAGAUUAAAGAUUUAUCGGUGAUGGAUGGGGAUGCGUCUGAUUAGCUUGUUGGCGGGGUAACGGCCCACCAAGGCGACGAUCAGUAGGGGUUCUGAGAGGAAGGUCCCCCACAUUGGAACUGAGACACGGUCCAAACUCCUACGUGAGGCAGCAGUGAGGAAUAUUGGUCAAUGGGCGAGAGCCUGAACCAGCCAAGUAGCGUGCAGGAUGACGGCCCUAUGGGUUGUAAACUGCUUUUAUAAGGGAAUAAAGUGAGCCUCGUGAGGCUUUUUGCAUGUGCCUUAUGAAUAAGGACCGGCUAAUUCCGUGCCAGCCGCCGCAGUAA
rnacentral:rRNA from 1 species